GACCUCAAAUCAGGUAAGGACACCCGCUGAACUUAAGCAUAUCAAUAAGCGGAGGAAAAGAAAAUAACAAUGAUUCCCCUAGUAACUGCGAGUGAAGAGGGACAAGCUCAAAUUUUAAAUCCAUCGGGUUUUACCUGAUCGAGUUGUAAUUUGAAGAAGCGUUUUCUGCGUAUUUGAUCAGCCUAAGUCCUAUUGAAUGAGGCAUCACGGAGGGUGAUAAUCCCGUCCGGUUGAUCAUUUGCGUUUUACGAUACGCUUUCUAAGAGUCAAGUUGUUUGGGAUUGCAGCUUAAAAUGGGAGGUAAAUUUCUCCUAAGGCUAAAUAACGGCGAGAGACCGAUAGCGAACAAGUACCGUGAGGGAAAGAUGAAAAGAACUUUGAAAAGAGAGUUAAACAGUACGUGAAAUUGUUGAAAGGGAAACGAUUGAAGCCAGUCGUACCUUCGGGUAAUCAGCCUUUCGGGUGCGAUUCUGUGGAGUGUGAGGAGCUUAAACACCUUCAUGUUUUGCAUAUUCGUACUCUUGGGUGUACUUGCCCGUGUGGUUGGUUAACAUCAAUUUUGGUGGUCAUAAAAUGACUGGGGGAAUGUAGCUUCGAUCUUGUAUUGAAGUGUUAUAGCCUUCGGUAGAUGUGAUGAUCGAGAUUGAGGAUUGCAACGGAUACCCUUUGGGGCUACCUGUCUGAUCUCUGAUCGUUGCUUUGGUGCCGAAAGCUUGCUUACGGUUAUCAAAGUCGAUGGUCAAUAGGUUAGAACGGGUUAAAUUCGUUAAGGAUGUUGACGUAAUGGUUUUAAACGACCCGUCUUGAAACACGGACCA
rnacentral:rRNA from 1 species